UGUCUGCAGAGGUCAGAGGUCACAGUCUGCAGGAUCCAGCUGUCCGUCUGUCAGGAGUGACUGGUCCAUGCCUCACCCUCCAGAGUUCAGUGAUGAACCUGGACCAACGAGAGUGGACCAGCAGAGAGCAGAGGUUUCCACUGGUCAGUCUGCACAGCAGCAUCAAAACACCUGGACUCUGUGGUUAUGCGGCUGGAGGACAACAUCACAUGUUUUGAAGAACGAGCUGAAGAAGAUCAGAAGCUUCUGAGUCCAGAUCACCCAGAA